AAACAAUAGAGUUUGAUCCUGGCUCAGAUUGAACGCUGGCGGAACGCUUUACACAUGCAAGUCGAACGGUAACGUGGGGAGGAGCUUGCUCCACCCCGACGACGAGUGGCGAACGGGUGAGUAAUA
rnacentral:rRNA from 1 species